GAAUCGCUAGUAAUCACAGGUCAGCUAUACUGUGGUGAAUACGUUCUCAAGUCUUGUACUCACCGCCCGUCAACUCAAGGGAGUCGGAAGUACCCGAAGUUCGCCCUCGCGGCGACCUACGGUAAGUUCGAUGACAGGGAGUAAGUCGUAACAAGGCACGGGUAGCGGAAGCUGCUCGUGGAUUAUUUCAAAU
rnacentral:rRNA from 1 species